GCUUGCGAAGCUUACAGGUAAGCAUCCGGGUUCAUCCGGAAGGAGAUGGUUCGAAUCCAUCCGCAGGCA
rnacentral:tRNA from 2 species